rnacentral:rRNA from 1 species
GCGGAACGGGUGAGUAACACGUGAGCAACCUGCCCUUCAGAGCGGGAUAACGUUUGGAAACGAACGCUAAUACCGCAUGACAUCCCGGGGUGGCAUCGUUCUGGGAUCAAAGAUUUAUCGCUGAAGGAUGGGCUCGCGUCCGAUUAGGUAGUUGGUGAGAUAACAGCCCACCAAGCCGACGAUCGGUAGCCGGACUGAGAGGUUGAUCGGCCACAUUGGGACUGAGACACGGCCCAGACUCCUACGGGAGGCGGCAGUGGGGGAUAUUGCACAAUGGGGGAAACCCUGAUGCAGCGACGCCGCGUGAGGGAAGACGGUUUUCGGAUUGUAAACCUCUGUCUUUGGGGACGAAUAGAUGACGGUACCCAAGGAGGAAGCCACGGCUAACUACGUGCCAGCAGCCGCGGUAAUACGUAGGUGGCAAGCGUUGUCCGGAAUUACUGGGUGUAAAGGGAGCGUAGGCGGGUCUACAAAGUUGACUGUAUAAACGAUCGGCUCAACUGGUCGUGGCGAUCAAAACUGUAGAUUCUUGAGUGGAGUAGAGGCAGGCGGAAUUCCUAGUGUAGCGGUGAAAUGCGUAGAUAUUAGGAGGAACACCCAGUGGCGAAGGCGGCCUGCUGGGCUCUAACUGACGCUGAGGCUCGAAAGCGUGGGUAGC